CCGACCUUAGCUCAGUUGGUAGAGCGGAGGACUGUAGUAGGAAACGUCUAGCUGUAAUCCUUAGGUCGCUGGUUCGAAUCCGGCAGGUCGGA
rnacentral:tRNA from 2 species